GGUUAAGCGACUAAGCGUACACGGUGGAUGCCCUGGCAGUCAGAGGCGAUGAAGGACGUGCUAAUCUGCGAAAAGCGUCGGUAAGGUGAUAUGAACCGUUAUAACCGGCGAUGUCCGAAUGGGGAAACCCAGUGCAAUUCGUUGCACUAUCGUUAACUGAAUACAUAGGUUAACGAGGCGAACCGGGGGAACUGAAACAUCUAAGUACCCCGAGGAAAAGAAAUCAACCGAGAUUCCCCCAGUAGCGGCGAGCGAACGGGGAGCAGCCCAGAGUCUGAAUCAGCUUGUGUGUUAGUGGAACGGUCUGGAAAGUCCGACGGUACAGGGUGAUAGUCCCGUACACCAAAAUGCACAGGCUGUGAACUCGAAGAGUAGGGCGGGACACGUGGUAUCCUGUCUGAAUAUGGGGGGACCAUCCUCCAAGGCUAAAUACUCCUGACUGACCGAUAGUGAACCAGUACCGUGAGGGAAAGGCGAAAAGAACCCCGGCGAGGGGAGUGAAAAAGAACCUGAAACCGUGUACGUACAAGCAGUGGGAGCACCUUCGGGUGUGACUGCGUACCUUUUGUAUAAUGGGUCAGCGACUUAUAUUCUGUAGCAAGGUUAACCGUAUAGGGGAGCCGCAGGGAAACCGAGUCUUAACUGGGCGUUAAGUUGCAGGGUAUAGACCCGAAACCCGGUGAUCUAGCCAUGGGCAGGUUGAAGGUUGGGUAACACUAACUGGAGGACCGAACCGACUAAUGUUGAAAAAUUAGCGGAUGACUUGUGGCUGGGGGUGAAAGGCCAAUCAAACCGGGAGAUAGCUGGUUCUCCCCGAAAGCUAUUUAGGUAGCGCCUCGUGAAUUCAUCUUCGGGGGUAGAGCACUGUUUCGGCUAGGGGGUCAUCCCGACUUACCAACCCGAUGCAAACUACGAAUACCGAAGAAUGUUAUCACGGGAGACACACGGCGGGUGCUAACGUCCGUCGUGAAGAGGGAAACAACCCAGACCGCCAGCUAAGGUCCCAAAGUCAUGGUUAAGUGGGAAACGAUGUGGGAAGGCACAGACAGCCAGGAUGUUGGCUUAGAAGCAGCCAUCAUUUAAAGAAAGCGUAAUAGCUCACUGGUCGAGUCGGCCUGCGCGGAAGAUGUAACGGGGCUAAACCAUGCACCGAAGCUGCGGCAGCGACACUAUGUGUUGUUGGGUAGGGGAGCGUUCUGUAAGCCUGCGAAGGUGACCUGUGAGGGUUGCUGGAGGUAUCAGAAGUGCGAAUGCUGACAUAAGUAACGAUAAAGCGGGUGAAAAGCCCGCUCGCCGGAAGACCAAGGGUUCCUGUCCAACGUUAAUCGGGCAGGGUGAGUCGACCCCUAAGGCGAGGCCGAAAGGCGUAGUCGAUGGGAAACAGGUUAAUAUUCCUGUACUUGGUGUUACUGCGAAGGGGGACGGAGAAGGCUAUGUUAGCCGGGCGACGGUUGUCCCGGUUUAAGCAUGUAGGCUGGUUAUCCAGGCAAAUCCGGAUAAUCAAGGCUGAGGUGUGAUGACGAGGCACUACGGUGCUGAAGUAACAAAUGCCCUGCUUCCAGGAAAAGCCUCUAAGCAUCAGGUAACAUCAAAUCGUACCCCAAACCGACACAGGUGGUCAGGUAGAGAAUACCAAGGCGCUUGAGAGAACUCGGGUGAAGGAACUAGGCAAAAUGGUGCCGUAACUUCGGGAGAAGGCACGCUGGUGUGUAGGUGAAGUCCCUGCGGAUGGAGCUGAGACCAGUCGAAGAUACCAGCUGGCUGCAACUGUUUAUUAAAAACACAGCACUGUGCAAACACGAAAGUGGACGUAUACGGUGUGACGCCUGCCCGGUGCCGGAAGGUUAAUUGAUGGGGUUAUCCGUAAGGAGAAGCUCUUGAUCGAAGCCCCGGUAAACGGCGGCCGUAACUAUAACGGUCCUAAGGUAGCGAAAUUCCUUGUCGGGUAAGUUCCGACCUGCACGAAUGGCGUAAUGAUGGCCAGGCUGUCUCCACCCGAGACUCAGUGAAAUUGAACUCGCUGUGAAGAUGCAGUGUACCCGCGGCAAGACGGAAAGACCCCGUGAACCUUUACUAUAGCUUGACACUGAACAUUGAGCCUUGAUGUGUAGGAUAGGUGGGAGGCUUUGAAGCGUGGACGCCAGUCUGCGUGGAGCCAACCUUGAAAUACCACCCUUUAAUGUUUGAUGUUCUAACGUUGGCCCCUUACCGGGGUUGCGGACAGUGUCUGGUGGGUAGUUUGACUGGGGCGGUCUCCUCCCAAAGCGUAACGGAGGAGCACGAAGGUUAGCUAAUCCUGGUCGGACAUCAGGAGGUUAGUGCAAUGGCAUAAGCUAGCUUGACUGCGAGCGUGACGGCGCGAGCAGGUGCGAAAGCAGGUCAUAGUGAUCCGGUGGUUCUGAAUGGAAGGGCCAUCGCUCAACGGAUAAAAGGUACUCCGGGGAUAACAGGCUGAUACCGCCCAAGAGUUCAUAUCGACGGCGGUGUUUGGCACCUCGAUGUCGGCUCAUCACAUCCUGGGGCUGAAGUAGGUCCCAAGGGUAUGGCUGUUCGCCAUUUAAAGUGGUACGCGAGCUGGGUUUAGAACGUCGUGAGACAGUUCGGUCCCUAUCUGCCGUGGGCGCUGGAGAAUUGAGGGGGGCUGCUCCUAGUACGAGAGGACCGGAGUGGACGCAUCACUGGUGUUCGGGUUGUCAUGCCAAUGGCACUGCCCGGUAGCUAAAUGCGGAAGAGAUAAGUGCUGAAAGCAUCUAAGCACGAAACUUGCCCCGAGAUGAGUUCUCCCUGAGACUUUAAGUCUCCUGAAGGAACGUUGAAGACGACGACGUUGAUAGGCCGGGUGUGUAAGCGCAGCGAUGCGUUGAGCUAACCGGUACUAAUGAACCGUGAGGCUUAACCUU
rnacentral:rRNA from 1 species